rnacentral:rRNA from 1 species
AACGCUAGCUACAGGCUUAACACAUGCAAGUCGAGGGGCAGCAUGAUAUACGCUUGCGUAUAUUGAUGGCGACCGGCGCACGGGUGAGUAACGCGUAUCCAACCUGCCCAUUACUCGUGGUCAGCCCGCUGAAAGGCGGAUUACUCCACGAUAUAUCCUUUUAUGGCAUCAGACAAGGAUGAAAGAGAUUCGGUAAUGGAUGGGGAUGCGUCCGAUUAGUUAGUUGGAGAGGUAACGGCUCCCCAAGACGACGAUCGGUAGGGGUUCUGAGAGGAAGGUCCCCCACAUUGGAACUGAGACACGGUCCAAACUCCUACGGGAGGCAGCAGUGAGGAAUAUUGGUCAAUGGGCGCAAGCCUGAACCAGCCAAGUAGCGUGCAGGAUGACGGCCCUAUGGGUUGUAAACUGCUUUUAUACGGGAAUAAAGGGCUUCACGUGUGAAGUUUUGCAUGUACUGUAUGAAUAAGGACCGGCUAAUUCCGUGCCAGCAGCCGCGGUAAUACGGAAGGUCCGGGCGUUAUCCGGAUUUAUUGGGUUUAAAGGGAGCGUAGGCCGCCUUUUAAGCGUGUUGUGAAAUGCAGUUGCCCAACAUCUGCACUGCAGCGCGAACUGGAGGGCUUGAGUUCACGGAAAGUUGGCGGAAUUCGUUGUGUAGCGGUGAAAUGCUUAGAUAUGACGAAGAACUCCGAUUG